UUUCUUGCUUCAUUUUCUCAUACUUUCUUGCAUUUUCUCUUCCUGUAAAGAAAAGAAAGGUUCUCGAGACAAAGAAAUACAUAACCAUCUGCUUUCUUUCUUUGUCUUUCUCUCUUUUUUCUUCAUUCUGUGUGCUUUCUCUCUCUAGAUAAAGAAGCAUAGAAUAAAGUGUGCUUAGAGAGAGAAUAAGGGAAGGGGAAAAAAGGCCAUUGUUUUGGGAGGUCAUCGUUCUUGAGGUCAUGAAGAAGCUUGCAAUGUGCAAUAAUGUGUUAGUGGUUUUUUGGUUGUUGGGUUUAUGGGUUUGCUCUGUUAGUGCCUCUGUGUCUUAUGACUCUAAGGCUAUCACCAUUAAUGGCCAGAGAAGGAUCCUCAUUUCUGGAUCCAUUCACUACCCAAGAAGCUCCCCUGAGAUGUGGCCAGAUCUUAUACAAAAGGCAAAGGAAGGAGGAUUGGAUGUGAUUCAGACUUAUGUUUUUUGGAAUGGCCAUGAACCUUCGCCUGGAAAAUAUUAUUUCGAGGGGAACUAUGAUUUGAUCAAGUUUGUCAAGCUGGUGAAGCAAGCAGGUCUUUAUCUUCAUCUCAGGAUUGGACCUUAUGUCUGUGCUGAAUGGAACUUUGGGGGUCUCCCUGUUUGGCUCAAGUACAUUCCAGGCAUCAAUUUCAGAACAGAUAAUGGCCCUUUCAAGGCUCAAAUGCAAAAAUUCACUACAAAGAUUGUCAACAUGAUGAAAGCAGAA
rnacentral:misc_RNA from 1 species